UUGCAGUCAAGGCUGAAUUUCCCAAAAAGGAAAACGGGGGAACCAUAUUGGGGGUGAAUCAUUGUUAAGGAGAGCAAACUCCUUAAAAUGACGGAAAGGUAUCAUUCCGAACCCGGCAGCUAACCUCGUAAGCGUGUGAACCGUUUUA
rfam:Desulfitobacterium hafniense Y51 DNA, complete genome.